rnacentral:rRNA from 1 species
AGAGUUUGAUCCUGGCUCAGAUUGAACGCUGGCGGCAGGCCUAACACAUGCAAGUCGAACGGUAACAGGAAACAGCUUGCUGUUUCGCUGACGAGUGGCGGACGGGUGAGUAAUGUCUGGGAAACUGCCUGAUGGAGGGGGAUAACUACUGGAAACGGUAGCUAAUACCGCAUAACGUCGCAAGACCAAAGAGGGGGACCCUCGGGCCUCUUGCCAUCGGAUGUGCCCAGAUGGGAUUAGCUUGUUGGUGGGGUAACGGCUCACCUAGGCGGCGAUCCCUAGCUGGUCUGAGAGGAUGACCAGCCACACUGGAACUGAGACACGGUCCAGACUCCUACGGGAGGCAGCAGUGGGGAAUAUUGCACA